rnacentral:rRNA from 1 species
CCUACGGGUGGCUGCAGUGAGGAAUAUUGGUCAAUGGCCGGAAGGCUGAACCAGCCAAGCCGCGUGAAGGACGAAGGUGCCAAGCAUUGUAAACUUCUUUUGUCAAGGGACAAAAUCAGGCUCGAGAGCCUGACCGAGGGUACUUGAAGAAAAAGCAUCGGCUAACUCCGUGCCAGCAGCCGCGGUAAUACGGAGGAUGCGAGCGUUAUCCGGAUUUAUUGGGUUUAAAGGGUGCGUAGGCGGACUGUUAAGUCAGCGGUAAAAGCCCGGGGCUCAACCCCGGCGAGCCGUUGAAACUGGCUGUCUUGAGAUGUCGAGAGGUAUGCGGAAUUCCUAGUGUAGCGGUGAAAUGCGUAGAUAUUAGGAGGAACACCGGUGGCGAAGGCGGCUUACUGGACUGUAACUGACGUUGAGGCUCGAAAGCGUGGGGAGCAAACAGGAUUAGAUACCCUGGUAGUC